UUUCCCACAAUCCCCAGCGGCGAGCAGUUUAUAAGUAUCCACGCGGCAUCCGGUCUUUCUCUUUGCAGGCUGGUGACAUGAGGUGCAGUCUGGAAUGGCCGUCUCUGCGGAGAAGGAGAAGGCUGUCUGAAUGACCAUGAGCUGCUCUACACUGCUCAUCUGGUCAGAGGCGCCGUGCCCUUCUGAACCACCAUGAUGGAGGAGCUGCAAGACGAAGCGUCCCCGUGCGUGGCCUCCAGGACUUAAAGGUGGAGCCUCUGCUUCCUUCGUCCUGGCUGUCCCGCUGCUGCUUCCCACCCCAGACCGGCAGCAGCAGGAAGAGCUGCUGACCAGCAGGGGGCGGCAGCUGCCCAGGCUGGGGCUCAGACUGACAGGCUGAUCUGCAUGAACGGAAGAGCUGAUUAAUGCCCUGCUCAGCCCCACACCUUGUUCUGUUUGCUCAACCUGACUCAAGACUCAACUACACAUUAUUCCACUGUGUAAAUGUGAAAGCCAUCAUGAAAUGAACCAUCCUGGACAUUAAAUUGUUUUGGUGACUGUC